UCUUUACGAGAAUUAUAUCUUCUUAAAUAAAAGCAUUUGUUUCUUCUCUAUUAAUGCCAAAGAUCAAUUGGAAAAUCAGUCAGCUUGAAAAUUGAAUUAUUCGAUCGCUGACAUAAAUGCAGAUAAGAUGCUAAUGA